rnacentral:sRNA from 1 species
AUUCUUCUCGAUCUUCUUCUCCGACGGAU